rnacentral:siRNA from 1 species
UGGAGGAUUAACUUGACCUCCUGC